UGACCUCGGAUCAAGUANGGAUACCCGCUGAACUUAANCAUAUCAAUAA
rnacentral:rRNA from 1 species